rnacentral:rRNA from 1 species
AUAUCUGCAGAAUUUCGCCCUUAUUACCGGUUGAUCCUGCCGGAGGCUAUUGCUAUUGGAAUCCGAUUUAGCCAUGCUAGUCGCACGGGUUAGACCCGUGGCGAACAGCUCAGUAACACGUGGCCAAACUCCCCUGUGAACGGGGAUAAUCUACGGGAAACUGAGGCUAAUCCUCGAUAGGGCUUCCAUCCUGGAGUGGAGGAAGUCCAAAAGUCGCUCUGCGGCAUCACAGGAUGUGGCUGCGGCCGAUUAGGUAGACGGUGGGGUAACGGCCCACCGUGCCAGUAAUCGGUACGGGUGAUGAGAGUCAGAGCCCGGAGACGGUAUCUGAGACAAGAUACCGGGCCCUACGGGGCGCAGCAGGCGCGAAACCUUUACACUGCACGACAGUGCGAUAGGGGGAUUCCGAGUGCGAGGGCAUACAGUCCUCGCUUUUCUGGACCGUAAGGAGGUCCAAGAAUAAGGGCUGGGCAAGACCGGUGCCAGCCGCCGCGGUAAUACCGGCAGCCCGAGUGAUGGCCGAUAUUAUUGGGCCUAAAGCGUCCGUAGCU